UACAGAGGGGGCAAGCGUUGUUCGGAAUUACUGGGCGUAAAGGGCGCGUAGGCGGCCCGCUAAGUCGAACGUGAAAUCCCCGAGCUCAACUCGGGAACUGCGUCCGAUACUGGCGGGCUUGAAUCCGGGAGAGGGAUGCGGAAUUCCAGGUGUAGCGGUGAAAUGCGUAGAGAUCGGGAGGAACACCAGAGGCGAAAGCGGCGACCUGGACAGGCACUGACACUCAACUGCGAAAGCGUGGGGAGCAAACAGG
rnacentral:rRNA from 1 species